rnacentral:tRNA from 1 species
CGGGGUGUGGCGCAGUUGGUUAGCGCGUUAGUUUUGGGAACUAAAAGCCGUAUGUUCAAAUCAUACCUCCCCGA